rnacentral:rRNA from 1 species
AUGCAAGUCGAGCGGUAGAGAGAAGCUUGCUUCUCUUGAGAGCGGCGGACGGGUGAGUAAUGCCUAGGAAUCUGCCUGGUAGUGGGGGAUAACGUUCGGAAACGGACGCUAAUACCGCAUACGUCCUACGGGAGAAAGCAGGGGACCUUCGGGCCUUGCGCUAUCAGAUGAGCCUAGGUCGGAUUAGCUAGUUGGUGGGGUAAUGGCUCACCAAGGCGACGAUCCGUAACUGGUCUGAGAGGAUGAUCAGUCACACUGGAACUGAGACACGGUCCAGACUCCUACGGGAGGCAGCAGUGGGGAAUAUUGGACAAUGGGCGAAAGCCUGAUCCAGCCAUGCCGCGUGUGUGAAGAAGGUCUUCGGAUUGUAAAGCACUUUAAGUUGGGAGGAAGGGUUGUAGAUUAAUACUCUGCAAUUUUGACGUUACCGACAGAAUAAGCACCGGCUAACUCUGUGCCAGCAGCCGCGGUAAUACAGAGGGUGCAAGCGUUAAUCGGAAUUACUGGGCGUAAAGCGCGCGUAGGUGGUUUGUUAAGUUGGAUGUGAAAUCCCCGGGCUCAACCUGGGAACUGCAUUCAAAACUGACUGACUAGAGUAUGGUAGAGGGUGGUGGAAUUUCCUGUGUAGCGGUGAAAUGCGUAGAUAUAGGAAGGAACACCAGUGGCGAAGGCGACCACCUGGACUAAUACUGACACUGAGGUGCGAAAGCGUGGGGAGCAAACAGGAUUAGAUACCCUGGUAGUCCACGCCGUAAACGAUGUCAACUAGCCGUU